rnacentral:rRNA from 1 species
UACGAAGGGGGCUAGCGUUGUUCGGAAUUACUGGGCGUAAAGCGUGCGCAGGCGGCUUCUCAAGUCAGGGGUGAAAGCCCAGAGCUCAACUCUGGAAUUGCCUUUGAGACUGAGUGGCUUGAGUACGAGAGAGGUGAGUGGAAUUCCCAGUGUAGAGGGUGAAAAUGCGUAGAGAUCGGGAGGAACACCAGUGGCGAAGGCGGCUACCUGGACCAGCACUGACACUGAGGCACGAAAGCGUGGGGAGCAAACAGG